rnacentral:rRNA from 1 species
GUGGGGAAUCUUAGACAAUGGGCGCAAGCCUGAUCUAGCCAUGCCGCGUGAGCGAUGAAGGCCUUAGGGUUGUAAAGCUCUUUCGCUGGGGAAGAUAAUGACUGUACCCAGUAAAGAAGCCCCGGCUAACUCCGUGCCAGCAGCCGCGGUAAUACGGAGGGGGCUAGCGUUAUUCGGAAUUACUGGGCGUAAAGCGCACGUAGGCGGACCAGAAAGUUGGGGGUGAAAUCCCGGGGCUCAACCUCGGAACUGCCUUCAAAACUCCUGGUCUUGAGUUCGAGAGAGGUGAGUGGAAUUCCGAGUGUAGAGGUGAAAUUCGUAGAUAUUCGGAGGAACACCAGUGGCGAAGGCGGCUCACUGGCUCGAUACUGACGCUGAGGUGCGAAAGCGUGGGGAGCAAACAGGAUUAGAAACCCUGGUAGUCC